rnacentral:rRNA from 1 species
CUACGGGUGGCUCCAGUGGGGAAUAUUGCACAAUGGAGGGAACUCUGAUGCAGCGAUGCCGCGUGAGGGAAGAAGGUUUUCGGAUUGUAAACCUCUGUCUUCAGGGACGAUAAUGACGGUACCUGAGGAGGAAGCUCCGGCUAACUACGUGCCAGCAGCCGCGGUAAUACGUAGGGAGCGAGCGUUGUCCGGAAUUACUGGGUGUAAAGGGAGCGUAGGCAGGACUGCAAGUCAGAUGUGAAAACUAUGGGCUUAACCCAUAGACUGCAUUUGAAACUGUGGUUCUUGAGUGAAGUAGAGGUUGGCGGAAUUCCUAGUGUAGCGGUGAAAUGCGUAGAUAUUAGGAGGAACAUCAGUGGCGAAGGCGGCCAACUGGGCUUUUACUGACGCUGAGGCUCGAAAGCGUGGGGAGCAAACAGGAUUAGAUACCCUAGUAGUC